UACGUAGGUGGCAAGCGUUGUCCGGAUUUAUUGGGCUUAAAGGGUGCGUAGGCGGCUUUAUAAGUCAGUGGUGAAAGCCGAUCGCUUAACGAUCGAACUGCCAUUGAUACUGCAAGGCUUGAGUAUAGAUGAGGUAGGCGGAAUUGACAGUGUAGCGGUGAAAUGCAUAGAUAUUGUCAAGAACACCAAUUGCGAAGGCAGCUUACUAAGUUAUAACUGACGCUGAGGCACGAAAGUGCGGGGAUCAAACAGG
rnacentral:rRNA from 1 species